rnacentral:sRNA from 1 species
CAGAGGAGAUUGCAGACCAAGAAUUAGCAGAAGCCCUUCAAAAAUCAGCAGAGGAUGCAGAUUGCUGUGUGUAUUGUGAGAGAAUGGAAGCAACCAACAAAUAUUUUGGAUGUCCAAACUACAGAAACAUCCCCCAACUUGGAAUCUACCAGUUCCUGAUUUUAAAGAUGGCAAAAGAACGGAAACUAUAACCCUGCAUGCUGUGUGGUUUGCAUUGUUAACCCAAGUUUGCUUGUCUGUUUCCUAAUUCACACAGAGCGUCAGAAGCCAUGAUGCAUGUAGUGUGUGUGUACUGCAGCUGGAGUGGGCCCCAGACCAGGUAUUUAUAGACACCAUGUUAAGCCUUCCAUCCAGUUGUCAUCUGUGAUCUGACAGUCUGUAUCUGCAGCAGUUUGGGAAGUUAGCAUUUGUCAUUCACCAUUUCACCUUGUUCCAUCUGGUUACAACUAGCCUAUAUGCAUUUGUAUUUUGGCAUGCAUACAUGGAUAUGUAACAUAAACUCCUGUUUAAAAAUGGAUUCGUUAUUAGAACCAUCCAACAGGGAGAAAAUCCCAGUUAAAACAGUGUCUAUUAUAUCUACCCCAUCUUGGCUACUAUAAAUAUCACAUCAAGAAUAUUGGCCUCA